rnacentral:rRNA from 1 species
UGGUGGAGUGAUUUGUCUGGUUAAUUCCGUUAACGAACAGACCUUAGCCUACUAACUAGUCAAUUCAAGCCUUCUUGAUUUUGACUUCUUAGAGGGACUUUGUGACGUUAAGCACAAGGAAGUUUGAGGCAAUAACA